GCCAGAGUGGUGGAAUGGUAUACACGAGGGACUUAAAAUCCCUUGCCUUUGCGGGCUUACGGGUUCGAGUCCCGUCUCUGGUACAA
rnacentral:tRNA from 1 species